rfam:Planctomyces sp. SH-PL62, complete genome.
GCACCCGUAGCUCAAUUGGAUAGAGCAUCGGUCUACGGAACCGAAGGUUAUAGGUUCGAAUCCUAUCGGGUGUA